rnacentral:rRNA from 1 species
AUACGGAGGAUGCAAGCGUUAUCCGGAUUCAUUGGGUUUAAAGGGUGCGUAGGCGGACUAUUAAGUCAGUGGUGAAAGCCUGCAGCUUAACUGCAGAACUGCCAUUGAUACUGAUAGUCUUGAGUUUGGUUAAGGUAGGCGGAAUGUGUAAUGUAGCGGUGAAAUGCUUAGAUAUUACACAGAACACCAAUUGCGUAGGCAGCUUACUGAGCCGACACUGACGCUGAGGCACGAAAGCGUGGGGAUCGAACAGGAUUAGAUACCCUGGUAGUCCACACUGUAAACGAUGAUAACUCGCUGUCGGCGAUAUACAGUCGGUGGCCAAGCGAAAGCGAUAAGUUAUCCACCUGGGGAGUACGACCGCAAGGCUGAA